rnacentral:rRNA from 1 species
UACGUAGGGGGCAAGCGUUAUCCGGAAUUACUGGGUGUAAAGGGAGCGUAGGUGGCAAGGCAAGUCAGAUGUGAAAACCCGGGGCCCAACCCCGGGAGUGCAUUUGAAACUGCCAUGCUGGAGUGCCGGAGAGGUAAGCGGAAUUCCUAGUGUAGCGGUGAAAUGCGUAGAUAUUAGGAGGAACACCAGUGGCGGAGGCGGCUUACUGGACGGUAACUGACGCUGAGGCACGAAAGCGUGGGUAUCGAACAGG